ACUCAAAGGAAUUGACGGGGACCCGCACAAGCGGUGGAGCAUGUGGAUUAAUUCGAUACUAACCGAAGAACCUUACCCAGGUUUGACAUCGAGGGAAAGACUGUGAAAGCAGUCCCCCACCCACAAGGUGGCCCGAAGACAGAUGUUGCAUGGCUGUCGUCAGCUCGUGCCGUGAGGUGUACGGUUAAGUCCGCCAACGAGCGCAACCCCCGUCGUGUGUUACCAGCGAGUAAAGUCGGGAACUCACACGAGACCGCCGGUGUAAGCCGGAGGAAGGUGGGGAUGACGUCAAGUCAGCAUGGCUCUUACGCCUGGGGCUUCACACAUGCUACAAUGGGCGCAACAGAGGGAAGCGAUGCCGCGAGGUGGAGCAAAUCCCAAAAAUACGCCCCCAGUUCAGAUUGCAGUCUGCAACUCGACUGCAUGAAGUCGGAAUCGCUAGUAAACGCAGGUCAGCUAUACUGCGUUGAAUACGUUCCCGGGUCUUGUACACACCGCCCGU
rnacentral:rRNA from 1 species